GCCAGUGUGGUGCAGUGGCUUGAACAUUGGACUAUGGCUCUGGAGAUCAGAGUUCAAUUCUCCGCUUGACC